GCCAAAUUGGAUCAGACUUGGCUCGAGUGUAACAUGAUCCGAGUGUCCACUAACAAUGUAUGUAUGUAUGUAUGUGUGUGUGUGUAGAGAUUCAUACGCUGUAAGAAAUUCCUGGGGAAGGGAAGGGAACAACGGCAGAGAGGAAAAGCUGCAGGAGAAUCCAACUCCCAAACUUAGUAACACUCAGGAGGAACCUCCCUUGUCUCUCUCUCUCUCUCUCUCUCUCUCUCUCUCUCUCUCUCUCUCUCUCUCUCUCUCUAUUGCAAAACAGACAUUACUUACAGAUUCUGUAAACCCUCUUCCCUAAUUAAUAACCAUUAACCCAUAUCCUUAGUUCGUCCUAAGUUCCACAACCACUCCCACUCACCCUUCUUUAUCCCAAUACUGGGAAAAUCCCAAAACAUUUUUUCCAAAGUUUGAAUCACUUCCUCCAUUUCCACACUUACUAUUUCCCAUUUUUAUCUGCAUGACGCGACCUGUGUGUGUUCCAUAAUUGAUAUCUGCUUCUUUCUUGACCAAAUAACAUUUCAUUAUACCUCACCCUCGAUCGUGAGGUGGGUUUUCUUUCUUUCGUUUUCGAUUUCUUCCCUUUCUUGAUUGGUUUCCAUGAUCAUGGGCUUUGAGAGGAGUGGCAUAUCAUCAUCAUCAGCGACGUGUUCUUUGUCAGCAGCGAGUUGCAGAAGCAAGUUCACUCUGUAUCACGUUCUCUGUGUAUUCUUCCUCGGCUUCCUCCUCUGCGCCGUUACCACCGCCACUGUCGUCCCAUCUCCCCCUUCUCCACAUAUCAGGAAAUCUUGUCCUGGGAAACUUGCGACCUUCUAUGCACAGAAAAGAGACUGGGAGCUAAAAUGCGCAUGAGGUAAUGUGCGCCCAAGUCGAGAUGGGCUGCAAAAGCACUGGACCUGGACGCGACCUGCCGGAGAAUCUGAGCCGUCCGAUUCGUCCAUGUCUUGGUCCAUCCAGUUCCCCACAUGCGGGGCCCCCCUGCUUCGCUUUUAUCUGUCUCGAUCCUGUCAUGCAGGAUCAGUAAGCGCACGUUAAGGGAUUCAUUGCCCCUUCUUGGUAACUUGCGCCGUCAGUGCUCAGCGCUUUCUCCGGAGGUUUUCUCGCGUUUUGUCUGACCCCCCUGGCGUAUGUUUCCCUCCU